rnacentral:rRNA from 1 species
AUUGAACGCUGGCGGCAUGCCUUACACAUGCCAGUCGAACGGCAGCACGGGUGCUUGCACCUGGUGGCGAGUGGCGAACGGGUGAGUAAUACAUCGGAACAUGUCCUGUAGUGGGGGAUAGCCCGGCGAAAGCCGGAUUAAUACCGCAUACGAUCUACGGAUGAAAGCGGGGGACCUUCGGGCCUCGCUCUAUAGGGUUGGCCGAUGGCUGAUUAGCUAGUUGGUGGGGUAAAGGCCUACCAAGGCGACGAUCAGUAGCUGGUCUGAGAGGACGACCAGCCACACUGGGACUGAGACACGGCCCAGACUCCUACGGGAGGCAGCAGUGGGGAAUUUUGGACAAUGGGCGAAAGCCUGAUCCAGCAAUGCCGCGUGUGUGAAGAAGGCCUUCGGGUUGUAAAGCACUUUUGUCCGGAAAGAAAUCCUUGGCCCUAAUACGGUCGGGGGAUGACGGUACCGGAAGAAUAAGCACCGGCUAACUACGUG